UGAUCAUCAAGAUGAUGCUUAUGAGUCUCACAAUUCAUUAGUGACACCUAGCAGUAUGUAGUGGCAAUCCAACAGAAUUAAAGAUGAAACUCUAUGUACAGUUAACACAUGAUAUAGUCCCAUUAUCGUAAGUCUCGAUCAGAUGGCAGGUCAUGGAUGAAUCGUUAAACCUCAACAUCGAUCAUAUGAUAGAUUCAAUCAGCUUGAGUCUAUAUGUGAUUCUAUGAAAAUUCUUUUUCAUUAAUCACACUGUUAUGACCAUAAACUUAAGAACUCAAUCUCUUAAAUCCCAUAGGACUACUCUCUUUUGCUAGGAUCGAUAGAUCCCAUCUUGAUGCACAACCUACUCCUACAAUAGACCAACUAUCACUAACAUCCACUAUAAGAGCUCCUUGAGAUCUAUGUUGAUGUGACAGUCAAACUCCAGUAGCCUCACUGUGAGCGUAGUGCCAUCUCAAGUCAAAAGAUCAGUUAUAUAACUGCAGCAUCAAAAAAGUCACUAACGAGUGAGCAGACAUCUAUGUGACUUCUCAUGUUGGUCACGCUUAGUGCUAGUUGCUCUCUAACAACUACCUGCACUCUCGCUCCAAUAUCUCUACACUACAAACUCGAGACUCAUCUGUCUGAAGAAAGUGAUCCAUGCACUGAUCUAUCCGGAUCAAUCACCAUCCCCAUGAUGAUCCUAUUAUCAGGAGUAAUUUAAGAAUUAAUUGUUAGAUGUGUGCCCUAGA
rnacentral:lncRNA from 1 species